rnacentral:lncRNA from 1 species
AGCUGUUAUCCUUAUGGGAAUCCCCUUAUACAUGAUUUGUUGCUUUUCCCUUGUGGCUCCUAGUAUUUUUUCUUUGAACUUAAUUUUCAUCAGUUUGAUUCAUAUGUUGCUGGCUGUAUUUCUCCUGGAGUUUAUUUUGUAUAGAAUUCUCUGUGUUUCUUCCACUUGAGUGAGUGUUUCUUUUCCCAUAUUUGGGAAAAUUUGAGUUAUAAUCUCUUCAAAUAUUUUCUCUGGCCCUUUUUCUCUCUCUUCUCCUUCUGUAACCCCCAUGAUGCAAAUGCUGGUAUGUUUAAUGUUGUCCCAGAUGCUUCUUAGACUCUUCUCAGUUUUUUUUUUUUCAUUCUUUUUUCUUUAUUCUUUUCUGUAGCAGUGAUUUCUACCACUCUAUCUUCCACCUCACUUAUUCAUUCUUCUGCCUCCAUUAAUCUGCUAUUAGUUCCUUCUUGACUAGUUUUCAUUUCAGCUAUUGCACUAUUCAUUUUGGUCUUCACAUCCUCUAGCUCUUUGUUAAACAUUUCUUUUAAGUUCUCCUUCUGUGUCUCCAUUCUUUUUCCAAGAUCUUGGAUCAUCUUUACAAUCAUCACUGAAUUCUUUCUCCUCAUCAUUUGGUGUGUUUUUGUUUGUGUUUUUGUCUUGUUCCUUUGUCUCAAAGCUGUUUCUUUGACAUUUCAUAAUGUCUGCCUUUCUGUUUAUCAUUCCCUUGACAGCUGGUGUGUAGAUGUUGAAUCAGGUGCCCAGUCCUGGAGUUCUCAGGGGUGGUAGUGGUUUAUGUGUACCUCUUUUCUGGGUAGGCUCUAGGGAUUGUUCUUUGUAGAACAGGUUCCAUUUUCUGCCAGCACUCUCCUUGCUGUGCCAAACUAGGUAUCUCUCUCUAAAAGAGGGGCGGGGGGCUUCUCCAUAAUUGUUGCUCAAAGGCUCUCUCUAGCUGCACAAUAUGUGUUUCUGGCAAUCCCUCCCCCUGCCUUGCUACUGGUAGGACUGCUCUCUUUAGCUCUGCAGAUUGGAAUGUGUGUUAAUGGGCCUCCACUGGCUCUGUUGGUGUGGAAAGAGACAUGAGCCUUCACAGGGCUACUGGCAGGGUCCUGUAUCUUGUGCUUUUUGCCAGUUGGGAAGCCCACAUCUCCAUCAGUGAAUGGGCAGUGGCAGCCCUCUCAUGAAAAUGGGCACUGCUGCGAGCAGCUUUUCUGGUGCUGCUUUGCUGGUGCAAGCUUCUGUAGAUUCUCUGGGUGGAGCCUCUGUUUUUGGCUGGUCUUAUCACUGGUGGGGGAUCUUCCUGGGGUGCAGGAGCUAUUCCUCUUUCUAGCUUCCUCCUGGAGGGCAGGUCCUGUCUCAUUUCCUUUCACUUUUUUUCUCUUCUUUUUUUUUUCUGCUGUUCUAUCUGGUUUUGUAAUAUUUUUCUUGUUCUGUCAUAAUCUUGAGGUCUUUUGUCGGUUUUUCACAAAUUUUCUGUGUGAAUAGUUGCACAUAUAGUUGUAGUUUCAAUGUAUUUGUGGGAGUAGAUGAGCCUUACAUCCUGCUGCUCUGCUAUCUUAGGCCUCCCCAAGAAGGUAAGAAGUAUAGUAUUUAAUAAGUCAGAUUCAGUACCUGUAUUCUCUGAGCUUAUGUAUUAAAGAUACAGACCCACAUUCAAUAUGCAAUAAAAACAAAACAAUAGGCAAUGAGUGAGAAAACAUUGGGAACUAAGGGAAUAUAAAAAAGAACCUUCCCUUAGAGCCACAGACCUAACUCCUGAAGGAGAGAUGUUUCAAGCAAGACUAUCACAAGGAGUGAGACAGAUAUGAUCCCAAACCACAUCCACAUCUUCAUACUCCAUUGUUGUAUCCUUGAAAAUAAAAUAAAAUUGCAUAUUCUGGGAAUUCACUUUUUGCCUUGAUAGAUCCAGAUGGAAACCGGGGUGAUAUGGGGCAUUCAUAUGCAAUAAAUUUCUCAAAAAGCACUAGGAUGAAACUACCUUUGAACAGCAUCUUGCAGCAGUUAAGAUCCCAAUCUUUUUAAAAAGAGGUGGAUCAUCUUUGAAUACUAUGUAAAUAUUGUAAUAGUCUCAGAAGGGAGAUAAAAUAAGCUUUCAGUGACCUGUUAAAAUUACUCUUUUAAUGGAAUUCCAAGCAGUAGUCAAUUUUUUAUUAAGUGAAUUAAUUCAAAGAGACCUUCCACAUUUAGGGGAAAAAAAUCCUCUGAGAGACAUUCUCCAAAGAUUACCUCAUCAAGAACAUCAGAGAGGAGCUAUAGAUAGUAUCUCAUUAGAAAUUUUAAAAUGCACAUUCAGUUGAAACUUAUGCAACAUCUACUUUAUGCUGGGCACUUCUAUCCCAGAUCAUUUUAGUAGAUCCUCUUGUUCUUAAACCACCCUAUAAAGAAGGAAUGUUUAUCUUCAUUGUAAACCUAAACACACUGAAGCUGAGAGGAUAGAAAUGACUUGUCAAGCUUACAGAGUAAACAAAUAGUAGGGAAUAUGCACAUCAGCCUGGGAUCUCUGGCUCUUGCCGUAUAACAAACACUGAUUAAGUGAGCAAUGAUUAAAUGUGGAAGGGAUGAUAAUUGGCCUAGGUUGUUAGUCUUUAGAAUGGAAGCACAGAUACCAUCUCCUGCAGUGAGGAGCAUGCCUUCACUAAGAGCCCCUGCUUUCUAAAACUGUUCCUUGAAAACUGCCUCUAGAUAACUAAGGAUAUCUGCCUGAGAGGAAAGAAACACUGUUUUACAGGACACAUAAUCAAAUAUGGUCUCUCUACCUAAAGUCUUGGGAUUUCCUCACUCCUGUGCCCCAGGAAUAACAGUAAGAUGCAUGCAAAUCUGAUCUCGUGCCGCCCACCCACUUGUUUUAAAACUCUAUAUAUCAGGGAGUUCCCACUGUGGCUCAGUGGUAAAGAACACAACUAGUAUCCAGGAGGAUGUGGGUUUGAUCCCUUGCUUUGCUCAGUAGGAUAAGGAUCUGGUGUGGCCGUGGCUGUGGCAUAGGCUGGCAGCUAUAAUGCCAAUUCGACCCCUAGCAUGGGAACUUCU